UGCCUGGCUGCUGAGAGUUGCUCCUGCCGCUGGGGGGGAAACCGAGCUCUGUGGCUCCAGGGGUGUUGUCCACCCGCCUGUAAUCAGGGUCUGGGUGCGCGAGCGUUUGUGCUCUGCUGGCAGCCUGUGUGGGGUGACCGCCCCGCUAGUGGGGUGUGGGUCGAGGUGCCCCGGACUGGGAGAGAAGGAGCCUCCCUCGGCCGUAGGGAUGGGGGCUGCCCUGUAAGUCAGGGAGCAUCUGUGUCCCGGAGUCCCAGGCCCUUUUCAAUGGCGGCAGUGGCCGGGGGUCCCCUGUAAGCAGGGAAGCUGACUCUUUGGCUGCUGCUUUUUGUGUGCCCAGCCCCAUUUGCCCAGUCUGCCCGCCUCUGUGAUCCCCCGCAGCACUGGCUGGAAGUCCGCCGCGUGUCAGUGAGGAGCUGCUGCAGAAGGAAGAAGAAGAAGCGGUGUGGGGACCUGGGAGGCAGGAGCAAGCAAGAAGAGGAAGCGGAAGCGUGCAGAUGCGGGGGGGAAGGAGAGAGGCUCCCUGGGCAAAGCACCUGUCCCGUUAGCAGGGGCACAGUCACGUUUGAGUUGAGAGCUGCCGGCGCCUUUGGUGACCAGGCUGGCGUUGUGCUGGGCGACCUCCCCGUAAGCAGGGGCUCGGGUCUUUGCUGUAGUUGGCCUUUUGCCUUGCUGCUCCUAGGGCUGCCUGGGGAGCGUGGCCCCCUGUAACGGAGGGCGAGAGCCACCUCUCCGCACCUGAGUGGGAAAUGGAGCUCGCCGGACCCCAAGGCCACCCUGUAAGCAGGGUAGUGCCGUUUCCCUGCCCCUCUUCCUCCCCCGGCCCCUCGGCAUCGUUGCCUGAUGGUGGCUUGUCAACGCGACGGCCCCGUACUCGGGGUGUGCGUCACGGCAUUUGGCCGCUGGCUUUACCUGAGAAGCCCCUUGGCACGUUGAGGUCUGUGGCCUCCGUGCAGCCUAGGGACAGGUCACAGGCUCUUGUCUGUUGCCCGUGGUUGUGGGUUUGUUCCCAGGUGUUGGCUGUGCUGCGUUGUCCUUCCCUUCUGGAAAGUCGUGCCUGUGUGUGCGUGUUCCCCUUCCUUUCCUUGUUUGUGUUUGUGGAGUGGUUGAGCGGCUGUGCUUUCCCUUUAGGCCUCCACAAAGAUGGCUGCAGCUUAGCUUUGACUUCCCAGGGGGGGAAUGGAGGACUUUGGUGCAUGCCGCAAAAGGGGUGUUCCCUCUUAGUCCUGCGAGCGCAGCGAGUGUCCUGUCUUCCUACUAUUUUCCUUAGUGCAGAUCAGAGCCACACGGUAGUUCUGUGGCCAAGGCCUCCCUGUAGCCAGGGCUUGGGCCUGUCCUUGCGUGGCCGCCUGUCCUGCUGGCGGCGGUGACAGCCCCGUACUCGGGGUGUGUGUCCCAAGCUUUGGAGCCCUCUGUCCCUGAGCAGCCCGCCCGCCCUGUAAUCAGGUGUGGGGAGGCUGCAGCGUUGCAGCCGGCUGCUUUAGCCAUCCAGCUGGUGGGAGUGACCCCUCCCUGUCCCGUCAGAGGGUGCAGGUUGAGGUGCUGUUUGUGUGUGGGGUGACCUCCCCGCUCGGUGGGUCGAGGUAGCUCCCUGGGCUUCCAAAGACGAG
ensembl:lncRNA